rnacentral:rRNA from 1 species
UACGUAGGCAGCAAGCGUUGUUCGGAGUUACUGGGCGUAAAGGGUGUGUAGGCGGUUCCCUAAGUUUGGUGUGAAAUCUCCCGGCUUAACCGGGAGGGUGCGCCGAAAACUGGGGAGCUAGAGUAUGGGAGAGGAAAGUGGGAUUCCUGGUGUAGCGGUGAAAUGCGUAGAUAUCCGGAGGAACACCAAAGGCGAAGGCAAUGUCCUGGCUAUUUCCUGACGCUCAGGGGCGAAAGCUAGGGGAGCGAACGGG